rnacentral:tRNA from 1 species
GGGCCAGUGGUCUAGAGGUAUGACGCCCGCCCGACAAGCGGGAGAUCGGCGGUUCGAAUCCGCCCUGGCCCA